GAUGAACGCUGGCGGCGUGCCUAAUACAUGCAAGUCGAACGCUGGAAAUCUAGCUUGCUAGAUUGAAGGAGUGGCGAACGGGUGAGUAAUACAUAAGCAACCUACCCACGAAGACUGGGAUAAUCUCUGGAAACGGGGACUAAUACCGGAUAGGUAAUCGGAAGGCAUCUUCUGAUUAUUAAAGGUUAAAAACACUGGUGGAUGGGCUUAUGGCGCAUUAGUUAGUUGGUGAGGUAACGGCCCACCAAGACGAUGAUGCGUAGCCGGCCUGAGAGGGUGAACGGCCACAUUGGGACUGAGACACGGCCCAGACUCCUACGGGAGGCAGCAGUAGGGAAUUUUCGGCAAUGGGGGAAACCCUGACCGAGCAACGCCGCGUGAGUGAUGACGGCCUUCGGGUUGUAAAGCUCUGUUGUAAGGGAAGAACGGUAGAUAGAGAAUAUCUAAAUGACGGUACCUUACCAGAAAGCCACGGCUAACUACAUG
rnacentral:rRNA from 1 species